CAUGCAAGUCGAGCGAUGAAACUUCCUUCGGGAAGUGGAUUAGCGGCGGACGGGUGAGUAACACGUGGGUAACCUGCCUCAAAGUGGGGGAUAGCCUUCCGAAAGGAAGAUUAAUACCGCAUAAUAUAAGAGAAUCGCAUGAUUUACUUAUCAAAGAUUUAUUGCUUUGAGAUGGACCCGCGGCGCAUUAGCUAGUUGGUAAGGUAACGGCUUACCAAGGCAACGAUGCGUAGCCGACCUGAGAGGGUGAUCGGCCACAUUGGAACUGAGACA
rnacentral:rRNA from 1 species